rfam:Thauera sp. 27 Cont6, whole genome shotgun sequence.
CUGCCCGUAGCUCAAUUGGAUAGAGCACCGGCCUUCUAAGCCGGGGGUUGCAGGUUCGAUCCCUGCCGGGCAGG